UUUCCUGUGGCUCAGCUGGUAGUGCAUUGCACUAACAAUGGAAAGGUUGUGGGUUAAAAUCCCAGGGAAAG